AAGGGCACUCAUCAUGUUCGGGUUCAUGCCAAUUCCACUUUGAACCAUUUGCGGUCCCGAGAGAUUUCCUUGGCUCAUACCAGGCACAGCUUGACCCAUACUAACACCACCUUGGAGGUUGCUCAUUGGUUGUGACAUCCCAAGGUUAUUGUUGCCAGAGACAUUAGAGGUACCUGAAGUGAAUGAAUUAAGACCUGGGUUCUGCGCAACCUGUGUAAGAGUGCCGGACCCUGAAGAUGUAAAUACAUUUUGAGCAGCACCAACUGAAGAUGCCAUUCCACUAGAUAUCAUAUUUGAUACAUGCAUGGCCAUAGGAUUUUGACCCAUAGUUGGGAGUCCCAUAGAAGUUCCUCCAGUUAAGGCUGCUGCGUUCAUCACACGUGCCUGAGAGAUGUUAUUGAGGAUGCUACCUACAGGACGCGAGGGAUGUGUCACACCACUCACUACAGGUUUCAAAUCUGGCACAUUAUCAUUGUUUGUGGCCAUCUCUUGAGAAGCAGAAGAUGGUGAAGAAGUCUGCAAGCUCGGGACUCCUUGGGAAGGAGGACGGACAGAUGGAAUGUGUGCAAAAGAAGGUCCCAUGGAACUUACGGUACUUGGCUCCUAAACAAAUCAUAUCAAAACUUUAUAACUAUACGUGUGCAAUUUAAAGCAGUAUACCAGACCAAAGUGAACAUCUCUUUCCUUUGCACAAAGCAUAAAAGUUCAAGAGUGCAUAAGAAAUCUUACAACUUUUACAGUAGCAGGAGGCACAUUUCCAACAGAAAUUGGUUGCCGAUUCAUAACAGGUCCAUUCACUAAUUUGAAAAAGAGGAAAGAAAAAGAAAGGACAAGUUAGCAAACAAGCAGGAUAACCAAGAAUUAACCAUGAAAAAUUAUGAACAGCCUAACCAUAACAAACUUAAGUGAUUAAUUCAAGCAAGACAGCCUAUUAUACUAAGAUUUGUAAUUCAAACCUUACUAUGUUCAUUUGAGGGGUAUGACGAGACAAUUACUCUUAUAAAAGAUAAAAUAGAAAUUGCGACUACACCUUAUUGACACUGAAACAUUGAUAAUUUCAACAAAAAAAAAGUCAAAUAGAUAAGUGAAACCGAAUCAUUAAGUACUUUCAUUAACAGAAAAAAAAAAAAAAAAAAACCAAAUAUUUUGCAGUGGAAAAAGGGACAACAUAUUGACUGCAAAACCAACCAGAGGGCAUAGAAGUUGGAGGCGGCCCAGUAACUGAAGCAACAGGAGCUAUGUCCAUUUUUACAGGACUCUGAUUUGAGGGCAAAGUUGUAAUUCCUGGACGACUUAAAGUAGCACGGGCCUCCAUAAAAUUCUCUGAGAUUAAAACAAGAAAGCGGGGAUUUUUCGCAUUAUCAAUUGGUGGAUCUGCCGCUCUAGGGUUGCGCUUUCCCUGCAUUGGCAAAGUGCUCACUAUCACACCAACUUCUUCUAGUGAUCUUAAGCCAUAGGAAAUAAAAUAUUCAGUCUGGCAAUAAUACUAUCACCUCCCUUUUGUAUUGUCGAACAUUCUUUGCAGCUUUAUUAAUAUAAUUAGACAGUGGUUCCAUGCAUAUGAAUACCAGAAAAAACUAUAUUUUUUGUUCAAGACAGUCUAAGUGGUUGAUUUUAGAAUUCAACAACAUAAAGGGUUAAAGCUCAACAGAGCACCAAGGAAAAUAAAGGAAGUUACUUUAAUGUUGAUUUAGCAAGAUAUACAAAAGGUCAAAAGCUUAAUACAUACAUACAUACAUACAUACAUACAUACAUACAUACAUAUAUAUAUAUAUAUAUAUAUAUUAUAUAUAAUAUUUAAGGAUAAGAGAUAAGAGAUGGAACAUACCGCAUUGUAUAUUGCUCUGAGCUCAGGUAGCUGUAUUGGACAAAUGACUGACAGUGAAACAGAGCUCUGGAUGAAAAAGUAAGGGCUCAUUACUGAUAAUUUUCAACCUUCACGAGGAACCCAUCACAAGGAAAGGAACAGACAUCAUUAAAAUGGGAAUAAACAAAAACACUACCUGUGGAAAUGAUUUAGCAACAGCCUCAGCAUCAUAAAGACGAUUUUCUGUUUGUGCAUCAAUAUUUUCAUUUUGCUCCAAAUUUUGAAUUUGUGGCCGAUACACUGGUGUGGGCAGAGGGUGAGGUUUACUUGCAGCAAUAAGAACACAAUGCUUCUGACAAUCCACAUUUUGUUGAUUUUGGCUUCCAUUUUGAACUGUAGGGAACAUCUGUGUUUUACAUCAGAAGAAUAGUAAAUGUUAAGUUUAACAUGCGACUAAGAAAUGCAUUUGAACUCAAAAGUACUUAGACGGCUUUGAACAGCAUACCAUUAGAGCUUCCGAAAGCCCUUCCGCAAUUGCAGCAUCACUAAAACCACCCCCAGAAAAGGGUAUAGCUGAAAGCCUAUGUAAGAAGAGAUCCACAUCCCUUGUCCAGCCACUCCGUUGUACCAGGCAACCUUGAUGAAAGGUUGUACAAUUAUUUCAAAAUAUUCAUAUAUAUAUAUAUAUAUAUAUAUAUAUUGAGCAAAUGCCAGUUACAGUAAUGACAUGGAAUGCCUACAUAUCAUCUUGGUGAAUUGGGUUCAUAAGAAACAAGGUGUGAUACUAGUUAAGUGGUAAUUUACCAGGAAAAAAAAAAAAACUUCCAUUUCCAGCCAUAAGUUGUCCUACUAAGGGGAACUGGAAACGUAUAACUUAAUGUAGCUCGCUGUAUUUCCACAUAAAGUUCGCAAAACAAGUUUUUCAGACUUCCAGGUGGUGUUAUGUACAAAGAGCCACUACGUUACAAUAAAGUCUACUAAUUUUAGAAUUUAACUUAAAGCUAGUAAAAAUCCACCACUUCAAAGGGAAUAAUUCCACAAAGCAUGUUAAAAUCACCAAGAAAUCAUUUGCAAACCUUGAACAACAUCCACCUUAACUUUCAAACAAUUAUUUGACUUAGUAUAAGAUUGAACCCUGUUUACAAAGAACUAUUUGACUUAGUGUAAGAUUGAAUCCUGUUAGUAGGAGGAUGGAGGACUAGCAAGUCUUCCCCUACAAAAAGUAAAAUUCCUGAAGAAUUUGUAGUCAACCUCGUACUGCAAUAAUAAAUUAACAACACAAGUCAUACAUCCGAAAACUAGGAAUAAGAAGAACAAAAUUACAUACCACAAUAAGAUCCAUGAGUAUUGAACGUGACCAGGGAGAGCUCAACAGUAGAAGUCGACAGCUUCUGCAUCUCAAAAGCCAAAUUACAUAAUAAGAAAAAGACUACCAAGCUAGAAGUCUUACAGACGGAACUAAUAAUGUUGUUGCCAGUGAAACGUAAGAAUGGUUGUCUAUGGUUUGAUAAUAGUUGAUGUAGUGUACACAAAUGGUAAUCAAAUUAUUACAUGCAUGCUAUUAACAUCUAGUCAAAGAAGGCACAACCACCUACACGAAAACAUGUUUAAAUAUGUAAUGAACAAUUAACAGUUCGGACAAAUGACUUCUGAUGGAUAAUGAUAAACCUAAAGUAAUGGAAAAGGGACAUACCUGCCCACUUGGCUCGUUUCCACAGAAACUCCUGCAGGAAAAAGAUAAAUCAGAUGUGACUUAUUUAUAGAGUAGUGCAUAAAAUCCCAUGCAUGUUAAUGAAAAAUCAAUGACAAACUUCAUAUUUGGUUCUAUGUACAGGAAUGUAUUAGAUGAAGAUUGUUAAUAUUCCAAGUAUGAACUUUUGCUGAAGUUGUUAUAGCUAGGCACUUAUUAACUUUUAGAAUUCUCCAGGACACUAUAAAAAUUUCAUGUGCAAUGAAAUGAAACUGUAAAUGGGAAAUCAUGAUAAAACCUCAUCUUUUAUACUAUACUUGGGGGAGUUAAUUAAACCCCAGGAGAAAUAUAUGAUUCAACAGGACAAAUUCAUGAGAACUUACCUUGUAACCUACAUCAUAAGUAGAAACCAGAAAGUAACGUGUGAAAUCAAAGCCGGUCAUAGACAAGGAGGGAGAAAGAACAGAAGCUAGCUACAACACAGCACAAAGGAAGAAAGAUAGAAAAAUUACUAAGAACUUAAUCGCGAACCUUACGAUCUUCUCUAAAUAAUCUUUAAAAAUGAGUUCCCAGAAGGGACCCAUGGCUGCAGUCCCUUCAACAGUGAUGAUCAGUUGUUUCUCAGCCAUUAAGGUUUUCUCUGUGAUAGGAUUGGGGAUCUACUUUUAAAGAUCACAUUGACGACCUCGGGCAUAUCUAUUAGUCUCAUUGAUGAGCACGUAUGUACGUUUUUCUCUAGUUAUUGACACGUCUGCACGAAACUCUGUAAGGUAAAAACUAACCAUCCACCAUCGACCACGUAACCUAUACGUUACUGAUUAUAGUAUUACAAUAACAAAAAUAAUAUUAAGAAUUUAAAUAAUUAAUAAUAAUGUGUAAAAAUACACUUCAGACAUCGUAGUAUAGAGAAUGCUCACUCCAAUAAGCUGGAGCAUGAUACUCUGCUUCAAGAUGUCUAAGGAGUUAUCCACUCUCUCCUUUGCUUGACCACCGGAGGAAAACCAAUUAUUCAAUGUCAAACCCAAAACGUAAAUAUGACAGAUUUAGCCUAUAAGUACUGUAUUUGUUCCUAAAGCAGAAGGUUCUGUAAUAAGUUAAUAGCAAACACGGGAUAAUAACUGAAAGUUACCUCAUUAAAAUCGCUUGUAUUGUCUGCAUAAUUUGGAAGGAAGUUAAUCUUGAUACAUGGAAUGUAUCUAUCUGACCAAUUAUAGGACUUAUUUUCCAUCACAUGCCAACAAGCAACAAAUCAUCGCAUGGAGCUCAUCACCGCGGAUAGCUUCUAACAAAACUGACGAGAACUAACUAAUUAUUUAUAAAUCAAUCAAAAUCCAGUUUCCAUCAGGAUUAUAUGAAAUAAAACUUUGUACAUAGUAGAAAUAUAGCAAGGCUGCCUACGGUUUCACGGUACGAGGGUACAGAAAAAUCGGACCUUUCUACAACUACAACACACUAAACUAGUUUUAUCAGAUUCUUUAGUAGCUGACGAAAGAUUCAAAAUUGAACCAAAACUGUAUAGUUUUUCCAGCUAACAAACAACUACUCCGCAUAACCAAUUUCAAAGUGAAAAGUGAAAUUGCAAUCAAAUGUCGAAUCCGAGCCACCAAACGCAGCCGAAACAAGCUAAUUAAUCACAUAAACAAGCCACAUAAAAUUCUCGCCCGAUAACAAACACCAAAACCCUAAAAUCACAAUGCAACAAAAAAUCUAAAAAAGAAAUCAACAAAAGAAUAAAUUCAGCUAAGAAACUCCCUACCUGAUGAUCUUAUCAAGGUAAUCGGAGACGACGGUUGCCCAGCAGGGCCCCAUGGCGGCGGUGCCUUCAACGGCCACGAUCAGCUGCUUCUCCGCCAUCGUACAGCUAGAAAGGACCGUAGAGAAAUUUCAACUGCUUUUGCUGGCUGUGCGGCGGAAAUGUGUGAGAGUCCAAAGCUUGGAAACGGUGGUAAGUGCACGAAACGCAGCGUUCUGGACGACAAAGACGAGUAUUUUAAAUGGGAGUCGAUACCCCGCUGCUGCCGCGACUGGUUUGGGGUUUCUUCCGGUGGCGCAAAAUUAAAGGCCGAGCCCACAGCCUUUUUUAAGUUUUUUUUUUUUUUUUUUUUUUGAAAAACUGGAAAUAUUCAUAACCAGGGCUGGAACCAAAAACACAGGGAGACCUAUCAGGAGGCAACAACCAAAGUACACAAACAGAUGGCAAUGAAGAGGGGAACAAAGGCUAAAGAUGUUGCACCAAGUGUGAAGCGUCACCCUUUCACUACCCAAAAACAAUUACGGAGGACAGGGGAGGCCAUCCUUGUUCAAAAUAUGCACCAGCGAAUAUGGGGGAUGGUUAAUCCAAGUAUAACCACACAUCUCCGUGUUACUUCUCGACGCCAAACGGUCCAUCGCCAAAUUGACUGAUCUCGAAACCCAAUACCAACGAUACAUCUAAAAGGAAUCCUGAAGCCUUAAAAUUCUAGUCAACGUAGGAUAAGUCUCUCAGCUGCAGAGGACAAAUCAUUACCAAAAAUGUUCUCUUUAGAAUCCGAUUCAACAAUAAUUAUGUGCAAGCCCAGAGAAUGAGCAAAUUCACAUCCAAACAAAAUGGCAAGAGCUUCUGCCACAACAACACACGGAGCAGAAAUCAUCAGUUUCCACACCCCAACAAACCUUCCAUCAGUGCAUCUGGCCACAAUCCCCACACAGCCCUCAGCCGAAGUAACAUCCCAGCUCGCAUCAACAUUGAGCUUGGUAAACAUGGAACAGGGCAGAGAUCAACGAACCAAACCCAAAGGGGAAACCUGCUGAGGUAGAAAGUUCCUCAAAGGUGGAUAAGAAGCCUUCAAAAAAGUUGUUGUCGAAGAGGAGAUAGACAUAAUGACUUUUUGUGGGUUGAUAGCCGUUUGGUUAUAGAGAUUGUUGAUAAUCAAAAUCGGAGGUCUUGGAACAACGUAAAUCCGUCCGUGAAUCUGCAAGAAAUGUAAAUAACACAAGAGUUAUCGUGGUUUACCCCAAGGCUUGGGCUACGUCCACACUGAUUGUAUUUCUCUGACUGUAUGUAUGGAUUACAAGGGUGAGGGGGAGUCCCCCCAGAGAAAGAGAGUGUUAUUGUGUUUGUGAGGGUAUUGCCCUCUGUUGGGUUCACUAAGUCCCCUUUGUGAAAGGAGAAAAGUCCCUUUUUAUAGAAUAAGGGGCUCCUCCUUUUACAUAAUCAUAUGGGCUGGGUAAUGAGGCCAAAUGUAUCAAAGUCUGAGGCCCAAUAUGUGUGGUACCAACAGUAGUCCCCCAAGUUUUCAGUCAAGAGAGUCUUUUGGCUGGAGACUUCAAAUCCAAUCCAUGUAUGGGCCGAAGUGGCUAGAUGCCUUGAACCAGUACUCAACCCAAGGCAAUGCUCAACAUAAAGCAAUAUUCGGCUAGAGGUAUCACACGUUACGAGAUUGCUCGGUUGGAGGCGAUGCUCGUUGUGAGGCUGCUCGGCUAAAGGCUAUACGCGACGAGGCAUUUGCUCGGUUGGAGGCGAUGCUAAUUGCGAGACGGCUUGCUAGAGGCUAUGUUCGCUGCGAGACGGCUCGGUUCGUGGUACUCCUCAUUGCAAGUAUCUAUUUUAUGUCGACAUGCACUCAGUAUGAGUUAAUUCUCGACAUGACUCGGGUCCGCUUGUCGGGUUCGCAUAUUGGGUCUAUGUGUCGGAUCCGUGGAUCGAGUCCGCAAGUCGAGUCUUUGAGUUGGGGUCAUAUGUAUGGUCAUUGAUUUGGGGCUAUCUAUAGGGUUAUCGAGUUGGGACUAUCUGUAAGGUCAUCGAGUUGGGUCCGGGCACAUAAGUGUCCCAAUAAGCGAAUGUCCGUGCAAGUGGGUGUCCGGUCAGACAAGAGAUCACCAUGAGCACAUGGCUCAUCAAUCUAUAAGUUGGUAGAUUUCGUUAAUCAGCAAUAAUGUUGAUCAGUGGACCUAGUUGCUCAAUAAUUCCUAACAAUAAAUGACAGUAUAAGUACGACCGUAUAAUGAAUAAAUCAAAUUGACAAAGUUUGUCAAGGCAAAAUAUUGUACUAUGUGCCUUCUAUACAUAAAUAAUUUAUUCAGUCGUGUGGUAAAUAAUUUGUAUCAUAUAUCAACAAUAUAUUAGGUAUUGCCUAAAUGUGUGUGUAUAUAUAUAUAUAUAUAUAUAAUCAUAUGUUGUUUAAUAAAUCAUAUGUUGUAUAAAUCAAUAACGUGGUAUAAAUAAUGUGAUAUCAGAAAUAAUAUUAUUUAAUCAUAAGUCAUCAUAACAUAAAAAAUAAUAGGAUAUUAAAUAAACAAUGAUAUUCGGAAAACAUUAUGAUGUGAAAAGUAAAGCUCUUUUUUCUUUUUCUUUUUCCUUUUGUCCCUUCAUGAUGAAGGUUUUAUGGCACUAUCAUAUAUAUAUAUAUAUAUAUAUAUAUAUAUAUAUAUAUAUAUAUAUGUGUGUGUGUGUGUGUGUGUGUGUGUAUGUAUAUACAUAUAUUUAUCAUGAGGUGCCGCAUUAUAUGCACAUAUCACGAAAGCAAAUAAUAUAUAGCUAAAUGUGCACUAAAAUAUAAAUUUGAUAGAAAUGAUGUGGUCUCCUCAAAGAAUAUGCAUACUGUAAAGCAUCCCCAACACAAAAUAAUAAUAAACUAUUUAAAUAAACAAAUGAUAAGUUGGAGAAAAGUAAGAGGAUCUUCCUCCUUAGAAAUUAUAAGUUGCUUUCAUUUGGGAUCCUCAUCUUCUCCAAUUGGGUAUAUAUAUAUAUAUAUAUAUAUAUAUAUAUAUAUAUUUUAACAAAGGGAUAGUGGGUAAACAUUAUACCAUGUACCCUUUUUCUUUCUGCCAUGAAUGAUUACAGAUAUAACACUAAAAUAUUGAAAACAUGAGUGAUUAAAGAUAAGUAGCAGAACAUCAUAGAAUGCAUGUGAUGAUAAAAAAUAAUUAAAGGUAAAUAAUAAUAAAAUAAUAAUAAGGAACCCUUAUCUUCCUCCUGGGUCUUCCAGCUUUCUCAGAAAGUGGAAAGUGGACAUGGUGGUAUUCACAGGAGGUGGGAUCCCUGUGUCUGGAAUGAUUAAAGAUAGAUAAGUGUGAUAGAAAUGAUUGCCUUCGCUGCUUUUAGUGAAGGCUUUUUCAACAAAGUGGGAAAAUGCACUCCCCCUCCUAAAAUACAGACACCUUCCGUCGCACAGCACCAACACCGAGUCCAGUUCUUAUAGGCGAUGCUGAGCAGGUUGUGCUCCUCCACCGUCAGCUCGGUCCCGGCGGCGAUGGAGCCGACAACAAGCUUAUCCAUGAAGCUCAUCAUCUCUUCGUACCGCUCGGCCUGCUCGGCGAGUUUUGCCAGGUACACGUACUGUUCUCUGCUGAGGUUUUCAGGGACAGCAGAAGCCAUUGAAGCAGGCGAAUCAAGCGUUCUGCAUCCUCCCCGACAUGGGCACGAACGACAUCGCGGCCUGUGGAAGGAUCAUAGAUGGCAAGGUUGACAUAGGAAUAAGUGGACUGAAAGAGGCCGCAGACCAAAGGCAGACAGAGUCAGGGGCCUUCCAUGUCUUGAGAAUGCAGUAGAUGUCAACGAGGUGUUCAAGGUGUUGUGCUUGUGCCAGCAAUUGCCAACUCAAACUGAGCGCAGCACGGCCACCAGAGAAGGCAUAUUUUUGUCAACAGACUCCAGCUCACCUCGGAGGAAGAGGCAAGUCGAGUUCAAGAGGCUUUGGAGGUAGGUGCCACCAUGGCUGCUCUCCAACGACGGUGUUGGUGUCUUGGAUGGCAUUGAUUUGAUUAAUUAUAGCUGGCUGGCGGUGUUUGGUUUUUUGUACCUAAAAUCUAAGUAGUAAACUCAAAUAUAAGAGAGAGAGAGGGUAUAAAGAGACUGUGACUGUGACUGUUUUUUUUUUUAUUUCUUUUUGUUUUGGUUUUUGGGUUUCUGCAGAUUCACGAUAGAUAUUGUGGUGAGGUUUCACGGUGGUGAGAUAAAAAAAUGAAAGUCGUUUCCCACAAAUUGCACCAAAUGUUGAUGCACAAAACCGGAGGUCUUGGAACAACGUAAAUCCGACCGUGAAUAUGCAAGAAAUGUAAAUAACACAAGAGUUAUCGUGGUUCACCCUAAGGUUUGGGCUACGUCCACACUGAUUGUAUUUCUCUAACUGUAUGUAUGGAUUACAAGGGUGAAAGGGAGUCCCCCAGAAAAAGAUAGUGUUGUUGUAUUUGUGAGGGUAUUGCCCUCUGUUGGGUUCAAUAAGGGGCUCCUCCUUUUACAUAAUCAUAUGGGCUAGGUAAUGAGGCCCAAUGUAUCAAAGUAUGAGACCCAAUAUGUGUGGUACUGUUGAUCCUAAAAACUACAAAGCUUACGUAGCGCGCAGGCCGAGUAAUCUAUAAGCUAACUACGUCAUUCGAUGAAUGCGGGGCGUGCCAACUCGUUGCCCGAGCUUGACCGAGGAGUAAAUUUGUUGAUGUUGCGUUGGGUACGCGGCUGACUUCUGCGUCUUGCGAUUGCGACCGAAGAAGGAACACGUCUCGGCCUCUUGGGUUCUCGAACCUGAAGACAAGGCUACUAUUCUUACAAAGUUCACGAAUCGUCGUCGUUGGAUUCGGUCACAGUGAUGGUAUUCGUCAGAGUAAACUCACGCCGAAUCGACACCAAAGUGUAAGAGCACAAAUACUCGAAGCAGAUAUGAGUCUUAAUAAUGAACGUGGUUCGACCGUCUGAACGUCGAACUCUAAAUCCUACUUGAGAGUAUCCAAUCAUCAAAUAACUCGGCGUACAAUGUGCUGAGCUCGGUGGGCUGUAACACCUCGCUUCGUCGAAAAGGUUAACGAGAUGACCUCAAUCAAUAAGGAUUCAGAAAUCAUUCUCAACCGAGACUUGGAUAGGUAACCAACCGUCUUCGUCGUAGUGCUGUUGAUGCCAACAGAAGAUACUACGAGAUCGACUGAUUCUACGGCGACAGAGCUAUCUAUGUCGACCGAAGAUAUCAUUGGUUGCUUUCACAGUGUUGUUGAUGCCAACGGAAGAUGUGUCAGCGAAAAGAGAAAAUAAAAAAAAAUCUCAAGUUGUUGAGAGAGUUUGCGCAUGGCAGUUGUGUGUUGAAUUGGAAAGGGCUCGAACGAUGCACAGCCUCCUCUAUUUAUAGCACCGAAUACCUUCAAGGUCGAGUUAAAAACCUACCAAGAUUAGGACUUCUUCUCCUAAUCGAACUCCAACUCGACCAGUCUUUUUUUUCACUAUACUUUUGAACCCAGUCCUAUAUUGAGCCGGAUUCACUUCCAGGUUGUUAAUCUCGUCGAAACUCCUCAUUGCACCAGGAUUCGACUCGUCUUGCAGCAUGACUUAACCUACCCAGGUUUGGAAGCCCACGAACCAAACAAUCCAUGGUAACUUUGUCGUAUGGCCUUCCGGGCAGAGAAUAAUUCUAUACUCGGUCCAAACUGAUAUUUUGGGCCCAAACAGGUACCAACAGAGAUAAUUACACCGAGCCUUCCAAAUAAACCAACAAGUGAAGGCAACAUAAGACAAUGACCAAAUAGUUGCAUCCUUAGAUCCUAAAGGUGAAUUUAAAAAAAAGAAAACCAGUUCGCCAACAUCGAGAAACCAGUUUUAUCCACCACGUAAUAAACAGUCAAUAUUAAGACCAACUCCAAUGGUGGGCUAAAAGCUAAAUUUCCCCAUUUAUUCCCCUUCCCAAACACCACCCAACCCAUGCUAAAAUAUCGAGCUAAAAGCCAAAUGCCAAAGCUAGGCCAAAUUCCCCCAUAUGCGAGUGGACUUGCUAGCACUUGGGCCAGUCUCGGCCCGCCCACGCUCCAACGCACCCCAUGCGGUUGGCUUGCAAGGGUUUCCCGACAGGGGUGAGCCCCGCUGUCAGCUGUGUGUCGGCCAACAUUAUCAUCCUAACAACUAUAGUUUUAAUCCAAGGGCUGGGCUCAGUGGCGGAUCUACAGAGGGACCUGGGAGGUCCCAGGACCCUCCGGCAAUCCUAAAAUGCUACUAUAAAUUUUCUGGGGGACCCCUCAAAGCAGGAUCUGUGCUGUCAUGUGCUGCAGGUUGCAGCUUGCAAUGGAGAAGAAGACAGGGGGAAGAAAAGAAGACAGGGGGAAGAAGAAAGAACAGGGCCUAAAGGCCUUUUAAAAAAUUGGUCCAAAACGCAGUGUUUUGGCCAAUUUGUUUAAAUUGUUUUUUUUUUUUUUUUUAAAACCCAACCGUUUGUCCAUGAUUCCCGAGACCCUUUAACGCCUAGCCCACAUGAUGGGCCAUCCUGAGUCACUCUUCCUUCCCCACCCCCCAGUUCCUGCUUUUCCAUUCCCCCUAAUCCCCAUCUUUCUUAUAUUCACCCAAAACCAAAACCCUAAAUUUCUAAUCCCACCCAAUCCCAUAUUAUAAUUAUAUUACUCCAAUAUUAUACCUCCACUUGUUUCAAUUCUCCAAGCCACCACUAUUUGGUUCAAAAUUCAAGUAAGUUUUUUGGUAUUAAUCUAAUCUCAAUUAAAUUAUAUUAGAUAUUGGUGGAGAUUUUUAGUCUAUUAUUGAUAUGAUUGUUGAUAUGUUUUAUGUUUGUAUACUCAUUUUAUCAUUGAAAUUUAGAUGGAUUUUUUGUUUAUUGGUUGAUUGGUAUAUGUUUUGUGUUUUUGGUUAAAUGUGUAGUUUAGAAAUAAGAAAUAUGGAAAGAUUUUUCAAGCCAAAGCCAAUAGCACUAUCUACUUGUUCGGGUAGUUUGAGCUCAAGACAAAAUGAGCGUGACAUUGAUUUUAAUAGUCUUGAGAGAGACUUGGGAAAAAGAAUUCGAAUGAAGGACUAUCCUUCUAAUAUUCAAGAUGAGGUCCGAAUAGCAUAUUUGCAAAUGGGACCUUGUAGGCCUACAAAGUAUGAGUUCCCAUACACUUUGCAUGCAAAGAAAAAGCAACGAUUUGUUGUUUCGUGGUUUGAAGAAUAUGAUUGGUUGGAGUAUAGUAUAUCUAAAGAUGCGGCAUUUUGUCUUCAUUGCUAUCUCUUUAAAAUCAACUUUUCACAAUUAGGAAGCGAUGCCUUCACUGGGGUAGGCUUUAAGAAAUGGAAGAAUGCAAGAGAAUGUUUUGACAAGCAUGUUGGUCCUAUUGGUAGUUUCCAUAAUAAAGCUAGAGAAGCGGCUAGUUAUUUAAUGAACCAAAAGACACAUAUUGAAGCAGUUGUGAUCAAAUAGUCAGAAGAAGAGUGUAUGAAAUAUCGUCUUUAUUUGAAUGCAUCAAUAGAUUGCACUAGUUCUUGUUGCGACAAGUCCGUCCUUUUUGUGGCCACGAUGAAAGUGACACUUCGAAUAAUAGGGGGAAUUAUUUAGAACUCUUGCAAUUCCUUGCGGAUCAUGAUGAGAAAAUAAAGGAAGUUGUGUUGGAAAAUGCUCCGAGAAAUCUCAACCUAAUAGCUCAUUCAAUUCAAAAAGAUAUUGUCAAUUCAUGUGCCUUCGAAACUAUUAAGGCUAUUAUGAAAGAAGUGAAAGAAAGUAAAUUCUUUUAUAUAAUGGUAUGAAUCACGUGAUAUUUCAACAAAGGAGCAAAUGGUAGUGAUUUUGCGUUAUGUGGACAACAAAGGUCAAGUAAUUGAAAGGUUCGUGGGAGUCAAACAUGUUACUGAAACAACUUCAAGUAAACUAAAGGAGUCCAUUGAUGAGUUCUUGAAACUACAUGAUUUGAGCUACUCCAACCUACGAAGUCAAGGUUAUGAUUGAGCGAGUAAUAUGAGAGGUGAGUUCAAUGGCCUUAAAAAAAAAAUUUGGAUGAAGAAAGUUGUGCAUUCUAUGUUCAUUGUUUUGCUCAUCAACUACAAUUAGCUUUUGUUGCUGUAGCAAAGAAAAACUCCGAUGUUGGCGCUUUUUUCACAUUGACUAAUAAUUUGGUGAAUGUUGUUGGAUGCUCAUGUAAGCGUCAUGAUGCACUUAGAGAGAAACAACAAGAAAAUCUCAUGAAAGCUAUUGAAAAUGAUUGUCUUGAAACGGGGCAAGGGUUAAAUCAAGAAACUAGUCUCAAACGUGCUGGGAAUACACGGUGGAAUUCACAUUAUGGUGCUUUGAUUAGUUUGAUUACAAUGUUCUCAUCUGUGGUGGAUGUGCUUGACAUGAUUGUUGAAGAUUGCUACAAUGAUAGUGCUGGUGAAGCAAAAGGUUAUUAAAAGAUUUACAAUCUUUUGAGUUUGUGUUCCUCCUCUUUUUGAUGAAAUCCAUAUUAGGAGUUACAAAUGAUUUGUCACAAGCAUUACAAAAAAAGAAGAUCAAGAGAUUGUGAAUGCAAUGGCUUUAGUCAAGACAUGUAAAGAACAACUACGUUGCAUGAGGAAUGAUGAAAAUUUUGAUCUUUUGGUUGAUAAAGUAUCAUCUUUUUGUGUUGAACAUGAAAUUGAGAUGCCUAAUAUGGAUGAUUUAUAUGUCAUUCAAGGGAAGUCAUUGCGUAAGGCUCCAAGAAAGACCAAUCGUCAUCAUUACAAAGUGGAGCUCUUUUUUGAGGUCAUUGAUUUCCAACUUACAGAAUUAGAUGAUCGCUUCACUGAAGGUAAUACCGAAUUGCUUAUUUGCUUGGCAUGUUUGAGUCUGAAUGAUUCAUUUGUAGCUUUUGAUAAAGAGAAGCUUGUUCGCCUUGCUCAGAUGUAUCCUAAAGAUUUCAUGGAUCGAGAUAAAUUGGCACUUCAAGAUCAACUUGAUAUUUACAUUCAUUUUGUGCGUUCUGAUAAUGAUUUUUCUCAAUUGCGGGGGAUUAAUGAGCUUGCUAAGAAAAUGGUGGAGAAAGGGUUGCAUCGAACGUUUGCAUAUGUAUAUUUGCUUGUUCAGUUGGCUUUGAUUUUACCGGUUGCAACCGCUUCAGUGGAAAGGGCAUUUUCCGCUAUGAAUAUCAUUAAGGGUCCAUUUCGCAACAAAAUGGGAGAUCAAUGGUUGAGUGACAGCUUAAUUGUUUACAUUGAGAAAUAUGUUUUUUCAUGUAUUGGUAAUGAAGCUAUCAUGGAACAUUUUCAGACUAUGAAACCUCAUCGUGGACGCUUGAAUUAGGAUUUUAUAGCUUGUAAUGUUGUUUUGCACAUGAUUUUUGAAUGAAAUGUAUUAUAUUUAACUUUUCAAUGUUAUUUUUGUCUAUAAAUUUUUUGACCUUUAUUAUUAGGAUCCCCCAAGUUUAAAAUCCUGGAUCCGCCACUGGCUGGGCUUUAAGGACCGUUGGUUGAUCCAACGGUCCAUAUUCAAAUUUAAUUUUUUUAGAAUAUGUUAUUUUAAAAUACAUUGAAUCCAAUGGCUGAUAUUGAAUAUAAUCAAAUCUAACGGUAAAAAAAAGAUCUAAUGGCCCAAAUUUAAAUUUAACGGCUAAAAUAAUUAAAAAAAUUAUUUAACUCAAAAUUCACCAAAAAACUCUAUAAAUACCUAUGUAUUUGUUCAAACAUCCACCCAAAACUCAAUUUUCUCCUACAAUUCUACCAAUUUAUCUUUCUACCAUUUAUUUCCAUUUCCAAAUUGUUCAACAUGGCAAUAGAGCAUAUUAGAGGUCGUAAUUGAACAUGUGAGGAAGAUGUUGCUUUAUGUUUGGCAUGAGUUUCUGUUAGCGAAGAUGGUGCAGUUGACACAAAUCCAAAUAAGAAGGUUUUGUGGUAUAAAAUCAUUGCAAAGUUUCAAGAAAACUGCAAUUGCGGCGGGCGGGAUGGUAGUGGUGUUUAUGAUCAGUGAAAGACUAUCAACAAAGCAUGCACUUUAUGGAAGGGAAGCAUUGAGAUAGCCGUGAUUGGCAUGGUUAGUGGAAAGAGCGCCACAUAAAUUAUGAGUUUUGUUCUUGAUAUUUUAUUUGUCACGUACAUAAUAUUAUUUUGCAACUAAUUAUUUUUAUGUAUUUUUUGCAUAGGGUGACAAAGCAAUGGAAAUUUACAAGACAAGAGUAACACUAAAAAAUCAAGUUUUUAAGUUGCAACAUGCUUGAGACGUCCUCAAGGAUUGUCCGAGGUGGGGAACCGAUGCAGACCAAUAAUGGGGAAGAUUAUUUCAACAUGAAGCCACACAGACAAAUGCCGGAGAUGAAGGUGUCGAUGAAAUGACCCCAUCUCCUUUUUUUGCAAGGCCCCCGAGAAGAGAUAAGCAAAAGGAAGCAAAGAGAAAAGGGAAGUCGCAAGAUUCGAUGAGUGGACACUUUGCUACCGGAAUUGCAAAAUUGAACGAAACUCAUAGCGCUUGCCAAGAAGAAACGGGCCAAAUGCGUUUGCAAAUGAAGGAAAUCUCAAAUAGGGAGUAAGAUAGAUUUGAAAUUAAUUUCAUGAUGGAAGACCUCAGUAAAUACAUUCCAGAGAGGAAGAAGUUCUUACGUGGUAAGCAAAAGAAAAUUUUACGAAAGUCUGCUUCAAGGAGUAUAUUUCAAAAUGAUGAAUCCUCUGAACCUUAUAUCCCAAGUCCUGUACGAAGUCCAUCACAAGUGAAGAUGGUGGAUAUGAUUAUUAAGUUUAUGUAGUGUAUGAAUUAUGUGUUUUAUUAAUUAAGUUUAUGUAGUUCAUUAAUUAUGUGGUUUAUGAAUUAUCGGUUGUAUUAAGUUUAUCUGGUUUAUGUACUUUAUUAAAUUUAUGUCUUAUUAAUUAUUGUUUCUAUUAAUCUAGAUGCCUUCAAUAAUUAUUGUACUUAUUAUUCCACACUUUGAUGUAUAAUAAAUGCUUUCAAUAAUUCAAUCUCCAUUCAAUAAUUUAUCCAACGUACUAAACAAAAUACUUUGCACAAUAAGACACUUAAAUUUAUUAUUAGAAAAUAACAACAUAGUACACUUAAAAUUAUUACAUAAAUGCUUAACCAACAUCAUCAAUGUUCACCUUCUCAUCAGUUGAGUCUGUAGAGCACCCAUUAGCUAGCAUGCAAAAAGCAGAUGUGAGCUUCUGAUGAAGUGAUAGACAUUGUCAGCUUGCGACAUCUAUCAUACUUGCAAAGUAGUGGUCAUGAAAGUUCAGCUUCAGCGUCGAACAAUUCUGCAUCCUCAAUCUCAAUCCUUGCUUGGUUUUGUGCCAUAUGCAUUGCCAUGCUACCCCUUAUUCUAUCACCCAUUGAAAGUUGAAAGAUUGGUGAAUAUAGAGGAUUUUUAGGAACAAAAAUUCAUUGAAAAUUGAAAGAUUGGUGAAUAUAUAGGAUGAUUGAAGGUUGAAAGGUUGUAUGAUCAACUAAUAUUGGACGUAUGUUUAUAUAGAGGAUGAUUGAUGAAAGUUGAACGGUUGGUGAAAGUUGAAAAUUUGGUGUUGAACAGUUGGUGAAUUGAAAAUUUGGUGUUGAACGGUUGGUGAAUUGAAAGUUAGCCUAGGGUUGAAAGAUUGGUGAAAGUUGAAGGCUUGCUUUAUGGAAAAUUUAGUGAUUUUUUAAUAUUUAUCGGAAUUUAAAUAUUUUUAUAUUAAAAUGUUCAUAAAAUUAAUUUACGAUAGUCUAUAUAUUUAUUUAUUUUUUAAAAUUUAACUGAAGAAAAAAAUAGCCUAAGUUCAUUAUUUAAUAAUUAUGAGCUAAAAUUUUAGGUCAGAAGGGUUUGAGCAGAAAAGUUGUUUCUGAGCUAAAAAUGUUGGCUUUUAACCCAACCAUUGGAGUUGAUCUAAUAGGGUAACCCUUGAACUAUUUUGUAUUGACCAAUUUGCACCCUACCUUUAAGAUUUUGAAUUUCUGACCACUUUUUUUUUUGUUGAUUUCUUUUUAAUUUCUAAACAAAAACAAAUGAAUGAGUGAAAAUUGUUAAUUUAGAUUUUGAUAUAAUCAUGGAGUGCAACACACUUAUUUGGGUUGGUUGUGUCAUCUUUGCUUGAUCUUUCUUUUAUUUCCUUCUAUUUUGAAUCAAUAUAAGUGGAGAAAUCAAGCAUUUUGCUUUGAAGAAUAAUAUCGAAAAAAAUCUCAAGAAUGGCAAGGAUAAUUUUCUACUAUAUCGGGAAAGUAUCAAGGAAAAAAAGGUAAUUUUCAGCUAUGAUGAGAAAAUCUCAAAAGUAUGAGAGGAUCCGAAUUUUAAUUUGAUAACAAAACUGAAGUUUAAUAUUCUAUUUUAAACUAAUCUAAAUUAUAAUAUGGAUAUUUAAAUUAAAAAAUAUAUUCGCUUCGGCCAAUGCAACUACCACUGAUCUAAAAAAGAAGUAAUUUUGGUUUCCUUCUUUUGGGUAAUGCAAAGACCCAAAAUUAGAAUCAUAAUACAAAAAAAUAAAUAUGCAUUUAUUCCCGAAAUUAGAAAAAAAAAAAGUAAUUAUUAAUCAAAUUUCAUGUUCAUGUGGGUGAACCCGUGGCAAGUGGCAGCAUAAAAUCCAUUUGAAUUUGAGGAAUUUAAUUUAAAUUAAUAAUGAAGUAAUCAACUUUGCACUUCAAUCGCUCUCCAAAUUCGCGGGAACACCAUGGCAGCCGCCGCUCAGGGCAGCUCUCUUCUCUGCUCCUGCCGCAGCAGACCAUGCACAACCAGAACAACCCUAUCCCCUUUCGGUCCCUAUCCCUUUCUCUCUCCUCUCACCCCCAUUGGCGCAAGCUCCAAACAGUUGAAGCUUUCGAAUUCCAGGUUCUCUUUCUCCUCUAUCUCUAUAUAGGGUUUCUAGGUGAAUUUGAGAAAUGAAUUGUCAAUUAAUUUACAUAUUUGCAGGACUGGUAGGGUUGUUUCUGCUGUGGUUUCUGAGGAGAACGCAAUUCAAUCAAGUUUCUCUGGCACCGAUGGGUUCAAGCUCACUUAUUUGGAGGUGGGUUUUCAAUUUUCUUAUUGGUACUUCUUAAAUUUGAUUACUUUUGGGGAUUUUUUUUUACUUGAAUAAAUGUUUACUUUUAGGGGAAUAGUUGGUUGUGGGAUGUGGGUGGGGUGAAAAUACUGGUGGAUCCAAUCUUGGUGGGUAAUUUGGAUUUUGGAAUCCCCUGGCUUUAUGAUGCUGCGAAGAAGUUUUUGAAGAAUUUCCAGGUACUCCUUUAGCUUCGAAAUCAAUUUUUUGAAGCAAAUUUGCCUUCGAUUUUCCUUUUUAAUUACGCAUAUGUUGCCAUUAUUUUGUAGAAUGUUGUGAAGUUGAUAGGCCUGUUUUGAUUGGGUUUGCAACUUUAGUGCAGUUAAGUGAUAUUCCAGAAGUUGAUUGCUUGCUUAUUACACAAAGUCUUGAUGAUCACUGCCAUUUGAAGACAUUAAAGCCCCUCUCCGAAAAGUACCCGAAUCUUAGAGUAAUAGCUACACCAAAUGCUAAGGCCUUGUUGGAUCCCCUUUUCAGCAAUGUGAGUUUGAAACUAAUGUUUUGUUUAAGGCUGCAGCUUCUUGAAUGUUAAUUUUGUUUUUAUUUUAAAUUUUUUAAUAUACGCUGUUUAUCCAGGUUAGGCAUGAACAAUCUCUACAGUCACCACCAAAGAAACAACGAUGCACUUAAAUAAGCAAUGCCUUGUUUCUUAAAAACUAGUGUAGUUUUUAUAAUUGGGGUAUAUAAUCCGGCUGCUGUGUUGGGUUUAUUGUGCAUCUGUUCCCUCUUAAUUUUUGGUUAAUACAUGUGCUACUAAGAUGGUGGACAUUACUACACAAAUUCUAUUCCUAAAUUUUACCUUUCGCAACAACUGAAGUUACUGAACCUUACUGUCAUUACUUCAACUUGGCUCAAUUGUUCCUGAAAAUUGCAAUGCUGGCAUGCAAGAUAUUCCCAAAGCCGUAGAUGAAGUCGCAUUCCGUGUUUCUAUUUGAGAUUUACACUAAUUUUGUUUAGGUCACAUAUCUAGAACCUGGCCAGAGCUCCAUUAUUGAAGCAGGAAAUGGUUCUACAGUCAAAGUUCAGGCCACUGCAGGGCCAGUUCUAGGUCCUCCUUGGCAGCGCCCCGAAAAUGGGUAAGGUGUCAUUUUUCUUAUUGCGAUUGUAACACUAGUGAAUUCCAUUGGCAAGGAAUGAAAUAAAAAGGAAUGAAGUUAAUGGAAAAUUCUUCUUGAUUGAUUGAAUUAAUAAUUACAACAGAGAGAGCAUAUAAAGCUUUUGCUAAUUACAAUGAAGUCCCUAACCAUCUUUACUAAUUACAAUUACAAGUGUAAACAAACUUCUUAAUGACUGAACUUAAAUUGUUGACUGUAUUGGAUGGCUUGGCUUGUAGAUUUUCCUCUUUAUGAAACAGUUCCUUGUAAUAUGUUCUUUAGUCUUUGGUUAAAUGGAUAUUAACGAGAUGUUAUAAUAUGUGGACCAGAUAUCUUGUCAUUUAUCCAGAAGGGAAAUCUACACUUUACUAUGAACCCCAUUGUGUAUACAAUACAAGUUCACUCGAGAAGGAAAGAGCUAACAUUAUUAUCACACCGGUCAUAAAGCAGCUUCUGCCUAAAUUUACCUUGGUCUCUGGACAAGAAGAUGCAGUUCGACUUGCAAAGCUGCUGAAUGCCAAGUACAGAUUCUUUAUACCUUAAUACUAACAUAUACAUAAAGAUGGUUUUACUAGACACAUAUCAACGUCUUUGUUUUACAUUUUGUAGGUUCAUUGUCCCGAUGACAAAUGGGGACUUGGAUGCCAAGGGGCUUCUUGCUAGUUUAGUUUCGGCUGAAGGAACAAUCGAAUCAUUCAAGGUUGUUUUCUUCUUCUCACGGUUUUUUCUACGGUGAAGUAUUAAGAUUUCUUUGUGCAAUAUUAUCACAAUUGAAGUUGUGGUUAUUAAAUGCAGGAACUUUUGUCCAAGGAAUUACCAGAUGCACAGGUACUGCAGCCUACUCCUGGUGUGCCGCUAGAAAUCCCGCUACCUCCAAAUCUUCCGUAAUAUGUUUUCUGCAGAAGAUAUACAGACACUGUAGCUCACUGAAAAUAUGUACACAUCUCAUCAAACUCGUAAUUUGUAAAUGUCUGUUUAUUUUAUUGAUACCAUUUGUUCACUUUUAAUCUGUAUUCAAAAGCAACUCCAAGUAGGCUUGGCCUCUGAGUUACAUAUGAGAAGCUGGUUCACUUGAACAAUAUUCCAUUUUGGAAUAGUUAUUGGGACAUCGGAGGCACAAAUAUUUGUAAGGCCCACUUAGCUAGUGGUAGAGGCAUGCCACUUAAUAAAAUGACAGACAUGCUUUCCAAUUAGCUAUUCCGUUUAGUAAAUUUUUUUUUUUUUCAAUAUUGAAGGGAGGGUUUCUUUAGUUCACAUUAAAAGUACAAAUUUAAGUUACAUAUCUGAGUAAAAGCCGUUAAAUUAUUUAACUUAGUGCUGGUUUGAGAAUGAUGUGUUUUGAAAAAAAACUGAUUCUGUUGUGCUGUGAGAAUAAACAGCUGUGAAAUAAAACUAUAGAGUGUUUGGUAAAUUUUUUUGUAAAAGUGUUUAUGGAAAAAAAAAACGGUAUUAUAAUGUUUGGUAAAUUUUUAUGUAAAACAGCUGUGAUUAUAUGAAAUAACAAAAAAACGGCAUCGAGUAGUUUCUCCCACUACUGAACUAGACUUUCCAAAAACCAAAAACAUCUCUCUAGACGUCUCCCACACAACCCCAAUUUUCUCAGUUUUUAUAUUUUUUGCUCCGUCUUCUUCUUUUUUAUUUUCUGCUCCGUCUCUUCUUUUUUAUUUUCUGCUCCAUUCCUCAAUCUCUCUCGCAUGUCAUUCCUCAAUCUCUCUCGCAUGUCAUCUGAUUUAAGGAGCUAAGAAAAUCUACUCGUAACCCUGCAGCUGCUGAAGAAAUCAAAGAUUUUGAGGGAAACCCAAAAUCCGAAAAGAGGGAAAGAAAUGAGAAAAAUGCAGAGAACCUGGUUUGGGGUUGAAGACGUGGUUGGGGGAGAGAGGGAUUCUCCCGCAAAUCGCAGUCUCCAUGAAUCGAUCUUUCUUUUUUCUUGUGCUGCUGCUUCUGCUGCAAUGCGUCGUGCGAUUUUAUUUAUUUAGUUACAGGAAUUUUCUGUUUUGGUUUAAACAACCGAAAUAACAAGAAAAAGAUCGAACAACUGGUGGACUCCUGUGCUCUGUCUGGUGGGACUUCUGGUUUUCGCAAUCCAUAAGACGGCGUCGUCUUGACCCUACCAAGUACGAACACUGAAAAUAAUUUUUGUCAAAUUAUAAAUCCAAUUUCUUCACCAAAAUAAAUGAAUAAAUACAUAAAUAAAUCCAAUUUAAAAUGAAAAUCCGAAAUGAGCGGUGGGUUAGGCAUCUCCAAUGUACUAGUUCAGUUUCAUUAACGCAAUUUAUAGUUAAUGUAAUUUGGGUCUUGAAUUUUUAUUUUCAGUCAGUUUAUACUUUAUACUUAUAAAAAUAAGUUAAUGUGAGCAUUCUGUCGACUUGUUAAGAUUUUAUUUAUUUUAUGAAAUCCUAUAAGUUGACAAAAGACUUCACAAUGACUUAUUUUAUCAAGCACUAAACUUUAGGGGUGUGAUAUCCACACAUCAUUUUUUACUUCUCACACAUUCUUCUAAGUUUCGGCCGUUAGAUCGGGUGAAUUGAAAAAGAUCAAAGAGUAGACAUUAAUAAAGAGUGUGUGAGAAGUAAAAAGAAGUACGUGGAUAGCACACCCCAAAAUUUAUUGUAACUCUUGACUAUUAAAUUUUUGAUCGUACAUUCAACCCUCAAUUUAUUAUUAGUUUCAUGUAUAAGUUAUAACGGAACAUAUUAGAUUUUUCGCAAUUUUGACACUAGGUGAAAAUGCAGAGAGCAAAAAAACGUAACUGUCCUUUUUUAAGUUUUGCUCUCACGGCCACUUUCGUCUCUCACUUCAUCUGUGUCUGUAGGUCUCCCCCUUUGAACUCUUCUCGAUUAGUUAUUCAAAUUCCAGUUAUUUAACCAUGACCGUCAGGAAAAAAAAAAAAAAGAGGAUUUCCAAGUUAAAGAAAGCAGGAAAGAAGAAAGCUGCCGAUCCGUUUACGAAAUAUGAAGAAAGAUUGGUACGACAUCAAUGCCCCUCGUCUGUGGUUCUAUAACAACAACGUGGGUAAAACUCUGGUCUCCCGUACUCAGGGCACCAAGAGUGCUUCCGGAGCACUCAAACAUCGACUUUCGGAGGUCUCAUAAACUUUUGGGGGAUGAAUUUCACUAUGGACAAGCUGAGGUCCUUGGUAAGGAAAUGGCAGACUUUGAUGGAAGCUCACGUAGAUGUGAAGACGACAGACAAUUAUACUUUAAGGAUGUUCUGCAUUGGCUUCUCUAAGAGACGUCAAAAUUGGGUCGGUAAGCGCUUGAUAACAUUACACAUCAGAAAACACUUCAAGUUCAAUAUUUUAGAAGAAAAAACUAAAUUACCCUACUUAAUCUGCAUGCAACUUUUAGCACGAUUAAUGUGUUUCAGUAUGAAACUUAUAAUUGUUCGGGAUCUUUUUUUCUUUCUUUCUUCUAAUUUACUAAAUAGGUUAAGAAGACCUGCUACGCACCAGCCAGAUUAGGCGGAUCCGCUGCAAGAUGAGGGAGAUCAUGGUCGCGUGGGCGACAACAAGUGAUCUGAAUGACUUUGUCAAAAGGUUGAUGGCUGAAAGUAUAGGUAGAGAUAUUGAGAAGGAGAUGCUGAGCAUCUUUCCUUUACAAAAUGUGUUUAUCCAUAAAGUCAAGAUGUUGAAAGCACCCAAGUUUGAUCUUGACAAGCUGAUGUAUAUUCAUGGUUAUGAAGACCUUGGUGUCAAGGUUGAGAGCCCUGAUCAUCAAGAAGAAACUGCCCUGGAAUAAAACGUAGGACAGUGAUGUUUUGCUUUAAACUAAUCCCAACUGCGGGGAGGAGGAUUCGAACUCAAGUGCAUAAUAGAGCAUAACUAGUCUAGCGAAUGCAGCUAUGCCCAAGUUUAUAGAUAUCAUCGAAGGUUAAUUGUUGCCAGCAUUUUUUUUUAUUUUCUUCUACUUUAAAGUUGCUCGAAUUAUGUUUUGUGAAAUUUCUCUGAGGACAAAGAACCACUUAUUCAUUUCCCGCCAUUUAUGCGGUAUAUGAAUAUGAAUUUUUCAUGACAAUAUAUUAGAUAACACUACUCCAAAAGAGUAUUUUGACUUGAAAUUGCUUAUGGUAAAGCAAAUGCACAACCAGAACCUAGCAUUAAAAAGUAGAAACAAAUGAAAAUGAUACACGAGUUGCUUGGUACGUAGCUUGGCGUUAAAUAUGAUCCACUCUAAUUAAAAGACAGCAUGCUUGAUUAAUUCUUGAAGGAAGAGGAUGACAGAACACUAGUCCUUACUAGUUACUCCGCAACUUGGAUAAUACAUAAUUUUCGUCUGAUUAGUGGCAUAAUAAUCCGCUUAUAUAUCGUUAAUUACGUGUAAAAACGAUAUGUUGAUGCAUCAGCAAUGAUAUUACGAAAACCUCCAACUGUGGAAGCCAACAUGAUGAACACUCCGAUGAAUAUGCAAACCUGUAAACACACACAAUCCUCAUAAAUAAACUUUUUUGUAGCAUGAUGUAUCAAUUUGCGAUAUCGACAACAAGGAACAUUAGAUAUCUUUGGCUUACCCAGUUGACGAGCCAUUGAAUGCUGUAUCUCUUUGGUUUCUUAAUUCUCAGCCACAUUAUACAAGGAAGCUGUUGAAAAAAUGCUCACUUAGUUAAUUUCUUUCUGAUGAUGUAGUUCUGUAAUUUGUGCAAGAAACAAAUUAAGAAAUCAAAUAGAGUGAGAUAGGCUUACAAAGUAUGAAGUGGGGGCAAAACCAAAUCCACCAAAGAAACCAAGAAGGUCUCCAAAGAAAGGGAAGGUGACUCCAACAAAUAAUGUAAAUGCUGCAACAAUAUAGUGAUUAGGAACUUAAUUAGGGUUUAAUCAAGCAGAAAUGACAGAGAUACGGAGACGUAUGGGAAAUGGGAAUCUCACCAACAUAAGCUGAUCUCGUGAUUAGUCUAAGUGCAAUUCCAGGUGGGAAGUUCAUCUUUUUCACCAUCAUCCUCUCAAGCAUGUCAAAAACAGGCAUAGCAUAAACCUGCACACUUUUCAGUCACAUCCUUAAUUUAAUGUAGUUCUAAUAUUAAUGAGAAACACUCAAAGAAUCAAAGCAUAGAUAAAAGCCAUCUCCUAUCAACUGUUAAAGUCGGAGUCACUAAUGGUCGGAUCAGUUCCAAUUAUUUCUUUUCAAAAUAAUGUUUAAAGUGUGUGUUUUUACGAUAGAAAACACUUCUAAUCAUUAUCAUUUAUAUUAGAAGUGCUUUUGUUAUAAAUUUAAAAAAAAAAUUAGAUAAUUCCAAGUGUUUCCAAAACUUUUAUAAAAUAUAUUUGGAAGUGCUUUCUAGAAAAACACUCAAAAAUGCUUUUAAGUUUUUAUGUCAAACGUAAUCAAAAGCAUUUUUAGUUGUCUGCUUUUGUAACUGAGUGCAGAUUUAUACCUGGUAGCUGCCAAUGACAUGGACGACAACCAUUAGGUUAGCAGCAGCAAUGAGCCAUGUAGGUUUUUUAAGAUCUAUGAGCACGUUAUCAUCGACAUCUUGACCAAAGCCCAGUACCCGAUGAGGGCCACCGGGAAAUAGCAAAUUGCGUUGAUAAAGUAGGCUCCUAGAGCACCUUUCCACAUGGGAAUUCUCGACGGCUUCUCAGGCGUCGAUGGAAUUGUGGCUUGGAUUUCAAGCACCACUGCAUGCCCAGCAAAUGCAAACGAGAUUUGACCUAAUGCAUUGAAAACCCUAAACAUGUAAUCUGCAGGGCUUGUUUUCUUGUAUGCAUAGCUCACGUUUUCAACCUGACCUUUGCUUAAGCAACCUGCCCACGCUAUAGUUGAAUAACUGCAAAUUAACAACAAAUUCUAGUUAUUAAGAAAAAUUAUAUAUUAUUUGCCUUCUAAAGUUCUCUUGUUAGGUUUACGAGUAAAUCUUCCGUAGGGUUGUCCUACUAUUGGUAGAACUAGAGCAUGCAUCUCUAUCCAAAUUUUUCUCGAAUUUUAAAAGGAAAAUAUUCACAAAUAAAAUUAGAAGGCACUAAAACAAUAACAUAAAUAUUGUGCAACGUACUAGUGUAUUAUUUGUUUAGUAACUUUCUAGUUUUACUUUUAAUUUAAAAGUUCAUAAGUAGUUGUCACUUAUACGAAUAGUGGAAUAUAUGUGUUAAAAAAUUAAACUUUCUGCCACUUAUAUAAUAACAUGUGGUGUACCACUUGUGUUCCCGUCAUAAUGAAAAUUUUCUCCUUUAACUUGAGUUUGUGUAAAGUACGUAAAAAGGAAUUAAUUUCUGCACACUCCCUCUUCUUUUUUUUCUGUUUUUUUUUUAACAGGUUUUGUUUGGCCUAAAGCAAGUCUUCUAAAUCAGAUUUUCCUUCUCAUGGAAAGUGAAAAUUAAAAUUACUACCUUAGUGACAUGAUAGCUGCUGCUAGAGAAACACCAGCAACAGAGUUGAAAUUGGGGAGCUGGGAAAGAAAGAAAUGAAGGGAACCAAAGAUGACAAUCCAGUACGAUUGCUUGACUGGUGUGCAAUUGGCACAUGCCAUCUCCACAAAUUUCUUUAGACACUUUCCUCCGGUGACCAUGUACACUAUGUCACAACCAACCUGCACAAUCAUUUGUUGCGGAAGCACAAUCCAUGGCCCGAACUUUGGUCCGAAGGCGUGUCGGCCAAGGUCGAUGUAUCGGUCAAACCUAGUUCCCGGAACACAUUCAUGGAGCUGAAUCAUCUGCCACAUUGUGUUCAAGGUCAUGCACCAUGAUAUUACCAGCACCAUUGUCCCUGGACCCCUGAAAAUUAAAGGUAGAAAAAAGUAGGGCUUAUUAGUAUAUUAAUACAAGUACAACUCGUAUAUGUAUUAUUAUCAUGAGUUGGGGUGUUUUGUACCAUCCUAAGAAGGCCAUGGCAUACGGCAGGCUGAGUACACCGGCACCGAUCAUGGCGGUGACUGUGUGAAAGGUGGAGUACCACCAUUUUGCUCGGCGGGCGUUGUCCACCGGCUCCUCCUUCCAUUUGUCGUCUGAAACAACUUCCUGCCAUAGUUUCAAGGACAAGAACGAACAAACAGAAAAAUCAGAGUGGAAUUUGGAAAACGUCGUGUGAAUAAAGAGUGGUGAUGCUCACCUUUGGAGGAGGAGAAGUUGUAACCAUUUUUUUUCUCUUCUUUUGCGAUGAAGACAGAGAAACACUUUCAAUGUGGGAGUUGAUUGGUCGUCAUCAUGCUGUACGUAUAUAGUGGUUUCCUGGCCCGGAAUAUAGGCAGAAAUGUGGGAUAGUACAUUCCAAAACCCCACUCAUGCAUUUAUUUUUAGCUUUUUUUUUUUAACACAGGGACUUGUGCUUUUCCAGUUGAGUGAGAAAUUUUUAGUUGUGACGAAAACAUGAGUGGUACACCACGUGUUUUUAUGUAAGUGGUGGAAAAUUUUACUUUUUAAGUUAUUAACUUUUUAACACACAUAUCCCACUAUUUAUAUAAUGACACGUGGUGUAUCAUCCGUGUGACGGUCACAUUAAAAAAUCUCUCCAGUUGAGCAAUCGUGAAUCAUAUAGGAAAAAGCGGUAAAUAAUUUAGUAAAUUAAGAUGAUAUAACAAAGGGAAAGAGAUCCUUUCCGGAUCUCUUCCUUCACAGUCCAGGGAUCAAUUGAUCCAGAUCCUUGAAAUUUGAUCCACCGGUCAAAAAUUAUUAUAACUUUUAAAAGUUUUUACUAACUUUUUAUUUAUUUAUUUAUUUAUUUAUUUUUACUAACUUCUUUGUUUUUAGCCGUUAAAUCAAAUUUCAAGAGACCGGAUCACUUGAUCCUUAGGCUUUGAAGGGAGAGAUCCGGAGAUAUCUCUUUCCAUAACAAAACCCCUUGUAUGUACUUGGCAAACGAUGUUAAAGUUUUAAACCCUCCACUUAAAAUUAUCUAAAGUGACACGAGCUAAUAUUGCAAACAAGGUUUUACGAGACUUCACAUUUGUCAUACUAGCAAUUAUACACGUUUAUGGUGGCUAAAACUUUUUGGUGAGGAACCUCCAAAAUAUUUUUCGUCGCUGAAGAGGCUUUUUAUAUCUUUAGCGAUUGCUUAUGCAUAUCUAUUUCAUACUAGGAGUUUAUUUUAUUUAGGAGAAAAAUAAGGGAAAAAAAAUGGAGGCAACUGAUAUGAUCACCUGGCCAUGAAACUUUGAAAAAUAAAAAAUAGUAAAAUUAAUUUGUGUUUAAUUUUACUAUAUUGCCAGUGACUUUUAUGUUGGUUAUUUUUCUUUAUUUUGUUGGUAGGGCUAAUUUGAUCAUUUCAAUCUCUUUUGGUUGACAAAUAGAGUUUUGUUAAUAAAUAUUUUAGAUUAUGUGGUUGGAGAGAGGUAUGGAUUGGACUUUCUUAUUAAGUUAGUUUCUUACAUUGAUGAGACCAGUAUGAUAUACGAUCAUGAGACCUAAUACAAGAAAUUUUAUGUCAAAUGGCUCUAAAGAUAACAUGCAACACGUGAGUUUAUAUAUGAAAGAUAUGUUUCUUAAAACGGGCACAAACAAAUUUUUCUCCAAAAUUACUCAAGAUAACUAGGACUGUGGUUUGAUGAUAUACUCCACCCACUUUGAUGCUAUAUACAAAGGAAUCUAAGGACCCCAUUUUGAAAAGCAUUAUUCCAUUAAGCUCCCCAUUUUGACAAGCAUCAUUUCAUAAACCUCCCUUGUCAAUUUUUCUUUACACAAAAAGUUCUUAUGUGCAAUUAUUUAUUUCUAUCCCAAGUUUUGAACCAAUGAUUAAAGAGCUUAGUUGGUGGUGAAUGGAGCCACCUAAAUUGAAUGCGUUGGCAUUAUAAAGAGGGAAUAGUUUGAGGGGUUAAUGAUUAAAGAGCAAGUGAAGGAAUGCUCUUCGUGUAUGGGAGUCGCUGGUGGGGGCUCUUUUUCUUUCUUCUUUUCGAGUGUCCCCUGUGGCUUUGCUAUUUGCAUCCCCAAAAGCCAAUGACGAUUGACUGCUACCCACUUCUUACCACAAAAUAACAAGUAUUAUAUGAUUAUAUCUUGUUUAAUUAAUCUUACACUAAUUCAACAUCAUGCUUAUAUCAUACAACAUGAGUAAUGCUAUUCAUAUUAUGUUUUUAUACCACACUAGGUGGCAUCUGAUGUCAAUAGCCACAUCAUUUGAAAAAUUUGCAAAAUCCGAGGAAAUGAAGGAGAAAGACUUCUCUUAUACCACAAUCAUCAUUUAAUUAACUAGUUUUUCUUAAUUAUUAGUUUAUUAAAUAAUGAACUAAAUUUAAAAAUCUGAUCAAUUCAAAUAAUUUGGCUGUCCACAUCAAAUGCAAUCUAAGGUGGUAUGAAAAUGUGGUACAAAAACUUGGUAUGAAUAGCGUUACGACAAUUGUAGGUUUUAUGACGGUUUUUGUAGAAAUUUGUAAAACCGAUUAAAAACUGCAAGUUAGACACCCAUUAAACCCAUAACGUCCUCCAGAUAGCAAACGAACGAGGGGAGUUUAUAACAGAUGUUGCGAAGACUCGUUAUAGUAGUCAAGGACUAGAUGAAACUCCAAGCAGAUUGACUACCUCCAGACCUUAAAUCCUCAUCUUGAACAAAACCAGCACUUAAUUAAUAAGCAUAUUUAACAGUAAAGCAUCCAUUAGAAGAAGAACCCAAAUGCAGGAAUCACUUAUCGGGCAUAUCCCCUUUAACAUCAGUAGGGUUACUUGUUAGUCCGCCGUACGACAUCGGCACGAAGAACAUUCAAAAGCAUCACAAAUUUCUAUCGAACGCAAGUCAAGUAACUAGCCACAGUUUCAUAAUUUUCAUCUAAAAAGAUAGGCCUCUGAAACUGAUAAAUAAAAGUCCGAUCAUUAGGGGUUACAAUGGCUGAUAGUAAAGUUAUUUAUAUGCGAGUCCCCGAGUGUUUAUAACAAGUUGAAGCUCUUAUUUAACCCAUAAAGCCCCCUCCAGGCAUAUUAGGCCCUUGUGACGAAACCUGUCCCUGUGAAACUAAUUGCGACCGGCCUUGAACAUAAGCUUGAGUCAUCCCCGUCCCAACCAACUGUUGUUGUUGAUGCUGUUGAUGCUGUUGCUGCAAUUGCUGAAGCUGCGGCAGUUGCUGUUGUGAUUGAAGUUGUGAGAGCUGCUGCUGCGAGAGUUGCUGCUGUUGUUGAAUCUGAGGGUGCUGAUGUUGAAUCUGUGGAUGUUGUUGUUGAAUCUGAGGAUGCUGUUGUUGCUGACCGGGUACUUGCAUUUGUUGCUGCUGUUGCUGACCCGGUACUUGCAUUUGUUGCUGCUGUUGCUGACCGGGAACUUGCAUGUGUUGUUGCUGACCGCCUACUUGAAUUUGUUGCUGCUGUUGCUGACCAGGAACUUGCAUGUGUUGUUGCUGACCGCCUACUUGAAUUUGUUGCUGUUGUAGCUGUUGCAUUUGCUGCUGCUGCUGCUGCUGCUGCUGUUGCUGACCACCUACUUGUGGUUUAAACACAACCAUAUCCUGAACCGAUGGUAGAUUUAGCUUUAACAAAAACCAGGUUGUAAGAAGGUUACAAUGCCGAGCCACAAACUCAAUUUGGAGUACCACCACAGGCCUCCAUUUCAGAAAGAAGUUAAAACAGAAGUUGCAGGAUAUGCAGGGAACCUUCAGAACUAAAAGCACCUUAUACAGGCUAGAAAGGUCUUUAACGAUCCCCACAAAAUUUUCGCAAAAUAAAAGGUCCAUUUUCCAGGUUUCUUUUAGUAAUGAAGGUACCUCACAUAUUUGUUGUGGAUUUAGCUCAGAGUUGGUGGCUAUUACUUUAUAUUGGCAAAAAACUAAUAAUAAGGAAUUACAAUCCGCGGUAAUAAGAAUGGUCUAACUAAUAACAAGCUCACCCCUGGAAACAGCAUUCCAAUCAAGCGAUAUGCUUUGUCUGAAACAGAGAGCAGUAGUGUCUGAGAGGGCAAUUGGAUCACUGCACACUGAAAAAGUGGGAAAUCAGCUUUUUGAGAAGAAAAAAAAACAUAUCAGAAUAGUCCUCGGUUUCAUGUUCACAUUCAAAGGAAAACUAUUGCAGGUGGUCAAAUAAAAUAGAAGAACUAGCUUUUGAUGCUGAAGUCUCACAUGGAUGAUACCAGAAUCAAGAAUUACCCCACUUCAAGCCAAGAGAGCCAAUUAAAUGCAUAAAUUUAGUUUAUCACAGCAUUUAGAGGUUCUUGAGUUUAAACAGAUAAUUAACCAAGUUCAUAUGAGAAUGUCACACAGAAUCUAAGGAAGUACUCUGCCAUAUCAGAAUUUACAGAUAAUCAAGUGGUAAUCCAAGAUGCUUAGAUUAAUAUAUAUAACAGAAGACGAUGAUUAGGCAAGUGGGUAAGGACUUUUAAGGGAUAAAGUGGAAGCGGCAAGAAAUUGGAUAGCAAAUUAGCAAUGAGGACAAUUUUUGAGUCUCAAAGGAAAAAGUGGUAAGGUAAAAUAAAGAGAGUAGACAGCUUACAAGUUUCUUCUCUUGCAAUUGCCCAAGAAACCCAUGCUGAUUCAUUGCCCGAAAAACUAAAAAGUCUGCCUUUCCAACAUAUUGCCUGAAUUAUAAAUAUUGAUGAAGUCAAGAAAACUGAGGAAUAUAACAUCAGGAGGAAAAUAUUACACAGAAAAAUAAAGGAGGGAAUGUUUUCACUAAAUUGUAAUUACUUGUUAUUCAUGUGGUCCUGAGAUAUGAGCCUCACUAUUUGCAUUGUUGGUGGCCAGUUCGCCGCAAGCCUGAGGAGUGAAAUAAUGCACAUCAAUAAAUAAACGCCAAUGACACAUUUUACCAUAGUCUGAGAUUAAGAUUUUAUUGUACACUAAAGCACCAACCAAUUAAGGCCAACUAAAGAGUUCUGAUCAAAAUACAUUCAACCUCACGCCACUAUUCUUACAGCAUGUCAAGAUAUUAGGAUUCUAAGAAUGAAGGUAACUAAAUUUUUAUUUUAACCAAAGAAAAAGCCGUCUGCUUUGAUAAGUUAGAAAUAUUAAUAGUCAUAGACCUCUUUUUCUACAUAAAAGAAUUAAAGUUAAAAUAGAAACUUUAAACCAUUGAUUACAUUCCAUUAACAUCUAUUUGAAACAAAAAGAAGAAAGAGUACUCCCGACUUACGUCUCAGAAGCUGAAGCACUCCUGUAACCCUGACAAAAUUAGAAAGCAUUUGUGGAGUCAACAAAUAAUUAACUGCUAAAAUUGUAAAAGAUAACUAAGAGAAAUAUAAAUAAUCCCAUGUCGUUAGGCCCUAAACAUGCCUCAUGCUGUGGUUUAAUUCAGGAUGCUCACACCCUUAUGGUUAUCAAAUUGUCUAUAAAAAUAGAUGCUAUUGAUAGCACACUUGAAAUAACUAUUUAUGGAUUGUUCAGUGUUUUCGGCAAUUUUUGUUCUCUCUCCUCCUCCAACAAAUAUAUUAAAACUCAAACCAAAUGCAUAAUACUUUUGAAUUCAAAUCACUCUGAAGCACAAUCACAAGGAAACAUAGAGAACUUUUUUCAGAAAAAUUUAAGUUCGACAUAAAUAACUAUGGUUAUCCAUGACAGCACAUUGGGUUGAUUCAAUGGCAAUUUGGAAUUUCCCUCUCCGGUGAUAGUUUAUCAGUGGUGUUUUGGGUGAAGAGUAGUUUGUGGAUAUCAAAGAAAUGAUGGUCAGAUGGUUUACCAAUUUAUAUGGAAACAUACUGAAAAUCCUCAUGUGCCAAAGUCACACACAUGCUCCAUUUUUCUCUCAAAAAUAAUGAUUUUGUGCAAUGCAAGAAACCAGACGUAAGAGUAUCACAAAAUAAACCACAGUUUCCAUGUCAUCCAACAAGGCAACGGAGAACGAACCUCCAAUCUAGUGAUAAACACAGGCUGCCCUUGUCUCUGCCCAGAUAAAGCUCCCUGCAUGUAUUUUGAUCAUUCAAGUAUGAGUGAUUGCGGAAUACCACAGUAAAACAGGACCAACCAUCUUUAAAACUUUCGUGAUAUUCUAGCUUAAAAAAGUUACCACCAGAAGUUUGAAAAUCCAACCGUAUUUUUUUAAAAGACCUACCUCCCAGACUUUCACAUAUUUGGAUUGUGCAGAUGCCAGAGCACUUGAUGUCUGUUGUGAAAAUGGCACAUUAGAUGCUGAAUUAUUGUUUGCACCAAGUGACUGCAUCCCAGAUUGCACCUGUUGAGCCAUUCCUGGAGUAGGAAUCAUUGUACCAGUUCCAGAAGAGGCACCUGUUGAACCAAGGGCACUCAUCAUGUUUGGGUUCAUGCCAAUUCCACUUUGAACCAUUUGCGGUCCCGAGAGAUUUCCUUGGCUCAUACCAGGCACAGCUUGACCCAUACUAACACCACCUUGAAGGUUGCUCAUUGGUUGUGACAUCCCAAGGUUAUUGUUGCUCAUUGGUUGUGACAUCCCAAGGUUAUUGUUGCCAGAGACAUUAGAGGUACCUGAAGUGAAUGAAUUAAGACCUGGGUUCUGCGCAACCUGUGUAAGAGUGCCGGACCCGGAAGAUGAAAAUACAUUUUGAGCAGCACCAACUGAAGAUGCCAUUCCACUAGAUAUCAUGUUUGAUACAUGCAUGGCCAUAGGAUUUUGACCCAUAGUUGGGAGUCCCAUAGAAGUUCCUCCAGUUAAGGCUGCUGCGUUCAUCACGCGUGCUUGAGAGAUGUUAUUGAGGAUGCUACCUACAGGACGCGAGGGAUGUGUC
rnacentral:lncRNA from 1 species